GUACCGUGAGGGAAAGGUGAAAAGCACUUCGAACAGAAGAGUGAAAUAGUCCCUGAACCCAUACGCCUACAAGCUGUCGGAGCCGCUUCGUGCGGUGACGGCGUGCCUUUUGCAUAAUGAGCCUACGAGUUACUCAUCACCAGCGAGGUUAAGUACUUCAGGUACGUAAGCCGAAGCGAAAGCGAGUCUGAAUAGGGCGUCAAGUUGGUGGUGGUAGACGCGAAACCUUAGUGAUCUACCCAUGGGCAGGGUGAAGGUUUGGUAACACAAACUGGAGGCCCGAACCGGUAAACGUUGAAAAGUUUUCGGAUGACCUGUGGGUAGGGGUGAAAGGCCAAUCAAACUGGGAAAUAGCUCGUACUCCCCGAAAUGCAUUUAGGUGCAGCCUCUGUUGUUUUGUUCUAGAGGUAGAGCUACUGAUUGGAUGCGAGGGCUUCACCGCCUAUCAAAUCCGGCCAAACUCCGAAUGCUAGAACAUGAAGACAGGGAGUGAGCCAGCGGGUGCUAAGGUCCGUUGACGAAAGAGGGAGAACUCAGACCAUCAGCUAAGGUCCCCAAUUGUAUGCUAAGUUGGAAUUAAAACGGGGUGGGACUGCUUAGACAGCUAGGAUGUUGGCUUGGAAGCAGCCAUUCAUUUAAAGAGUGCGUAACAGCUCACUAGUCGAGCGGUCCUGCAUGGAUAAUACGCGGGCAUAAGCAUAUAACCGAAGCUAUGGGAUUGUAGAUGAUACAAUCGGUAGGAGAGCAUUCCAUUCAGCAUAGAAGCAGUACCGUGAGGUAUUGUGGAGCGGAUGGAAAAGCAAAUGUAGGCAUAAGUAACGAUAAUGCGGGUGAGAACCCCGCACGCCGAAAGAUCAAGGAUUCCCCGGCAAUGUCAAUCAUCCGGGGGUAAGUCGGAUCCUAAGGGUAAGCCGAGUGGCGAUCCCGAUGGCAAACAGGUUAAUAUUCCUGUACUGAUCAUAACUGCGAUGCAGCGACGCAGAGGUGACACUGCUGCGUACUGACGGAAUAGUACGUUGAAACCCGUAUUCUUUGAUACCGGUAGUGAAGCACGCCGGUAGAGAUGAAAGGUGAUAGUACCGCAAUGCUUCGGUUGCGCGGAUAAUGCAGGUAAGCUGACUGCCAAGAAAACCUGCUAAGCUUCAGGUAAUGAUCAUCCGUACUGUAAACGGACACACGUGAUCAGGUAGAAAAUACUAAGGCGCUCGAGAGAUUCAUGGUUAAGGAACUAGGCAAAAUGGUCCUGUAACUUCGGGAUAAAGGACGCUCUUGUGAAAGAGCCGCAGAUAAUAGGCCCAGGCGACUGUUUACCAAAAACACAUGGCUAUGCUAAUUCGCAAGAAGAUGUAUAUGGCCUGACACCUGCCCGGUGCCGGAAGGUUAAGAGGAGAGCUCAGAGGUAACUCGAAGGUUUGAAUUGAAGCCCCGGUAAACGGCGGCCGUAACUAUAACGGUCCUAAGGUAGCGAAAUUCCUUGUCGGGUAAGUU
rnacentral:rRNA from 1 species